CAGCACCUCAAGUGGUCAGGAUGAUUAUUGGGCCUAAAGCAUCCGUAGCCGGCGCUGUAAGUUUUCGGUUAAAUCUGUACGCUCAACGUACAGGCUGCCGGGAAUACUGCAGCGCUAGGGAGUGGGAGAGGUAGACGGUACUCGGUAGGAAGGGGUAAAAUCCUUUGAUCUAUUGAUGACCACCUGUGGCGAAGGCGGUCUACCAGAACACGUCCGACGGUGAGGGAUGAAAGCUGGGGGAGUAAACCGGAUUAGAUACCCGCGUAGUCC
rnacentral:rRNA from 1 species